AGGCGGCAAAAAAGGGAAAGAAAGGAAAAAAGAAGGGAGGCAAGAAAAAGAAAAAGUGAGGAUUGAUCUGGUUCGUUGCCUUUUUGCUGUCU
rnacentral:ribozyme from 15 species